rnacentral:pre_miRNA from 2 species
UUUUGUGGAUGAGCAAAGAAAGUGGUUUCUUGAGAUGAAAUCUGCUUUUGGUGAAGGUGCUGCGUAAA